GCUGAGAUAGCUCAGUCAGUAGAGCAUGAGGCUCUUAAUCUCAGGGUCGUGGGUUUGAGCCCUAUAUUGGGCA